AUUGAACGCUGGCGGCAUGCCUUACACAUGCAAGUCGAACGGCAGCACGGACUUCGGUCUGGUGGCGAGUGGCGAACGGGUGAGUAAUAUGUCGGAACAUACCUUGUAGUGGGGGAUAACUAUCCGAAAGGAUAGCUAAUACCGCAUACGCUCUAAGGAGGAAGGUGGGGGAUCGCAAGACCUCAUGCUAUAAGAGUGGCCGAUAUCUGAUUAGCUAGUUGGUGAGGUAAAGGCUCACCAAGGCGACGAUCAGUAGCUGGUCUGAGAGGACGACCAGCCACACUGGAACUGAGACACGGUCCAGACUCCUACGGGAGGCAGCAGUGGGGAAUUUUGGACAAUGGGGGCAACCCUGAUCCAGCAAUGCCGCGUGAGUGAAGAAGGCCUUCGGGUUGCAAAGCUCUUUUGUCAGGGAAGAAACGGUUGUGGCUAAUAUCCAUGGCUAAUGACGGUACCUGAAGAAUAAGCACCGGCUAACUACGUGCCAGCAGCCGCCGUAA
rnacentral:rRNA from 1 species